rnacentral:rRNA from 1 species
GUUGGCUUAGAAGCAGCCAUCAUUUAAAGAAAGCGUAAUAGCUCACUGGUCGAGUCGGCCUGCGCGGAAGAUGUAACGGGGCUAAACCAUGCACCGAAGCUGCGGCAGCGAACGUAUCACCCAAGACAACUUUACGGAGUUGACGAUUGACGGAGCGAAGCGACGUCAAAGCGUUCAUUAAAGUCGAGUUGGCUUAGGGAUACGUUCGUUGGGUAGGGGAGCGUUCUGUAAGCCUGUGAAGGUGGCCUGUGAGGGUUGCUGGAGGUAUCAGAAGUGCGAAUGCUGACAUAAGUAACGAUAAAGCGGGUGAAAAGCCCG